rnacentral:rRNA from 1 species
CCCCCCUCUUCGGGAUAAGCCUUGGAAACGAGGUCUAAUACCGGAUAUUCAACUUCUGCUGCAUGGUGGGGGUUGGAAAGAUUUAUUGGUGGGGGAUGGGCUCGCGGCCUAUCAGCUUGUUGGUGGGGUGAUGGCCUACCAAGGCGUCGACGGGUAGCCGGCCUGAGAGGGCGACCGGCCACACUGGGACUGAGACACGGCCCAGACUCCUACGGGAGGCAGCAGUGGGGAAUAUUGCACAAUGGGCGAAAGCCUGAUGCAGCGACGCCGCGUGAGGGAUGACGGCCUUCGGGUUGUAAACCUCUUUCGACAAGGAAGAAGCCUUCGGGUGACGGUACUUGUAGAAGAAGCGCCGGCUAACUACGUGCCAGCAGCCGCGGUAAUACGUAGGGCGCAAGCGUUGUCCGGAAUUAUUGGGCGUAAAGAGCUCGUAGGCGGUCUGUCACGUCUGGUGUGAAAACCCGAGGCUCAACCUCGGGCUGGCAUCGGGUACGGGCAGACUAGAGUACGGUAGGGGAGACUGGAAUUCCUGGUGUAGCGGUGGAAUGCGCAGAUAUCAGGAGGAACACCGAUGGCGAAGGCAGGUCUCUGGGCCGUUACUGACGCUGAGGAGCGAAAGCAUGGGGAGCGAACAGGAUUAGAUACCCUGGUAGUCCAUGCCGUAAACGUUGGGCACUAGGUGUGGGGCGGGUUCCACUCG